CUACGGGCCGCUGCAGUGGGGAAUAUUGGACAAUGGGGGGAACCCUGAUGCAGCAACGCCGCGUGGAGGAUGACGCAUUUCGGUGUGUAAACUCCUUUUAUAUGUCAAGAAAAUGACGGUAGCAUAUGAAUAAGCACCGGCUAACUCCGUGCCAGCAGCCGCGGUAAUACGGAGGGUGCAAGCGUUACUCGGAAUCACUGGGCGUAAAGGACGCGUAGGCGGGUUGGAAAGUCAGGUGUGAAAUCCUACAGCUGAACUGUAGAACUGCACUUGAAACUUCUAAUCUAGAGUAUGGGAGGGGGAGAUGGAAUUAGUGGUGUAGGGGUAAAAUCCGUAGAUAUCACUAGGAAUACCUAAAGCGAAGGCGAUCUCCUGGAACAUUACUGACGCUAAGGCGUGAAAGCGUGGGGAGCAAACAGGAUUAGAUACCCUCGUAGUC
rnacentral:rRNA from 1 species